GGGCGGGCUCUGCGCCCCAGCCACCUCCUGGGGGCCCUGCUGGGAUCCCCCUGCUAUCCUGGGGCCAUCCGAUGCUAUCUGGCACAGAGAUGGGACUGCAGAACCAGGAAAUUUCAGAACAUUGUCAAUGAGAGGCAGUUUAUCCUGGGUAAUGGAGGUGUUCUUUUUCCAACUCAGAUCCCACCAUCCCAUUGCAAUCAACUGUUGAGGAAUAACAAAACUCAUGACAAUGUUUGGUGCAGCUCUAACACAGAGUGAAGUGAGAACUGCACACUCUCCACCUGCCCCAUUGCCUGUGGAGCCACUGCUCCUCAGAGACAUCUCCACCCGCUGCUGCUCCCUCCUUGCUGCUGGAGGAACUCUGGGAGGAGGGGACCUUGAGCCAGGAUCCAUCCCAUUGAGCUCUGGAGGAAGGGAGAUCCACAGACCUGCAGUGACCUCACCCUUGUAGACCUGCAUUCAAACGACCUUUUACUUCCAGGGCAGAAUAAGUGGUUUUUUCUCCUUUUCUGUUAAAUGUGAUGAUAAUGCAGCUAUCCUGUACCUCUUUUUUUUUUGGUAGCAAACGACUUUUUAAAAGUUAUACGACACCCAUGUGAGGAAAUCUUUGAGUGAAAUUAAUCCAAAGCUGCUGGGCCUACGUCAAGUUGUCAGGAGUUUUUCAAUGCCACUUAUCUCCUGAACAAAGACAGAAGCCCUGUGGAAUCAGGAGCACUGGGAUUUAACAUCAGAUCUUAGAUGGGGUGGAAAUCUAGUGAGCACCAUGCUGGAUUUCAUUUUGUGGUAGUAAACAUGGUAUAAAAAAUAAUUCCAACCUACCCACCUGAACUUCUUACACUUCACUAUGGCUUCUGUAAGGGAUACAUUUUCAGGUGAACAGGCAUGAAACACACUUACAAAUGCAAGACAGAAUUCAUGAUCAUACACACAUUUCCAGAAGUUUGUGCCUGCUUUUCCUUGGAUAUGUUAUCUAACAGUUUAUUUGGAAAAUUACACUGUCUUUAAAAU